rnacentral:rRNA from 1 species
UACGUAGGUGGCAAGCGUUAUCCGGAAUUAUUGGGCGUAAAGGGCAAGUAGGCGGUUCUCAAAGUUGGGCGUGACAUCUCCCGGCUCAACCGGGAGGGUGCGUUCAAAACUAGAGGACUAGAGGGCAGGAGAGGGAAGUGGAAUUCCUAGUGUAGCGGUGGAAUGCUCAGAUAUUAGGAAGAACACCAGUGGCGAAGGCGGCUUCCUGGCCUGUACCUGACGCUGAGAGGCGAAAGCUAGGGUAGCAAACGGGCUUAGAUACCCGGGUAGUCCCUGAGCGGG